rnacentral:rRNA from 1 species
GAUGAACGCUGGCGGCGUGCCUAAUACAUGCAAGUCGAGCGAACAGAUAAGGAGCUUGCUCCUUUGACGUUAGCGGCGGACGGGUGAGUAACACGUGGGUAACCUACCUAUAAGACUGGAAUAACUCCGGGAAACCGGGGCUAAUGCCGGAUAACAUUUAGAACCGCAUGGUUCUAAAGUGAAAGAUGGUUUUGCUAUCACUUAUAGAUGGACCCCCGCCGUAUUAGCUAGUUGGUAAGGUAACGGCUUACCAAGGCAACGAUACGUAGCCGACCUGAGAGGGUGAUCGGCCACACUGGAACUGAGACACGGUCCAGACUCCUACGGGAGGCAGCAGUAGGGAAUCUUCCGCAAUGGGCGAAAGCCUGACGGAGCAACGCCGCGUGAGUGAUGAAGGUCUUCGGAUCGUAAAACUCUGUUAUUAGGGAAGAACAAAUGUGUAAGUAACUGUGCACGUCUUGACGGUACCUAAUCAGAAAGCCACGGCUAACUACGUG